UCAAGAAACUUCCACAAUGGGCGAAAGCCUGAUGGAGCGACGUCGCGUGAUGGACGAAGUGCUUCGGCACGUAAACAUCUUUUAUGUGGGAUGAAAUUAUUGACAGUACCACAUGAAUAAGGGGCUCCUAACUCUGUGCCAGCAGGAGCGGUAAUACAGAGGCCCCAAGCGUUAUCCGGAAUCACUGGGCGUAAAGGGUGUCGAGGCGGUUGUAUUAGUCGUUCGUAAAAUCUACGAGCUUAACUUGUAGGCGGCGAACGAAACGGUACGACUUGAGGUUUGGAGAGGUGCGUGGAACUCACGGUGUAGGGGUGAAAUCCGUUGAUAUCGUGGGGAACACCAAAGGCGAAGGCAGGGCACUGGCCAAAAUCUGACGCUCACACACGAAAGCUAGGGUAGCGAAGAGGAUUAGAUACCCCUGUAGUCCCUGAGCGGGCUGGCAAGGCGCAU
rnacentral:rRNA from 1 species